rnacentral:rRNA from 1 species
GACGAACGCUGGCGGCGUGCUUAACACAUGCAAGUCGAACGGAAAGGCCCUGCUUUUGUGGGGUGCUCGAGUGGCGAACGGGUGAGUAACACGUGAGUAACCUGCCCUUGACUUUGGGAUAACUUCAGGAAACUGGGGCUAAUACCGGAUAGGAUCUCCUGCUGCAUGGUGGGGGUUGGAAAGUUUCGGCGGUUGGGGAUGGACUCGCGGCUUAUCAGCUUGUUGGUUGGGUAGUGGUUUACCAAGGCUUUGACGGGUAGCCGGCCUGAGAGGGUGGACGGCGACAAUAGGACUGCGAUACGGACCAGACGCCUACGGGAGGCAGCAGUGGGGAGUAUUGCACAAUGGGCGGAAGCCUGAUGAAGAGACGCUGCGUGCGGGAUGCCGGCUUUCGGGUUGUAAACAGCUUUCGGCUGAGACGAAGCGGGAGUGACGGUAAUGGGUAAAGAAGCACCGGCUAACUACGUG